GUUUUUGCGGGUGCUGGCCUCGCGGACCGAGCAAGCUGCCAUAUUUGUUUCGGUGCGUUGUUCAAAGAAAAGGCGAAAAUUUGAAGAUUUUUAGUUUUAUUUGUUUUAUACAUCUAAAAUUCCAGUCAACAGGAACCAUCGAGGGAGCUAUCAACCACAAUUCAGACGGGAAUUGGUUGUUUCUUUUUGCACAGCUUGGAUUCAGGAAGAAACUCCACUGGAAAAGGCUCGCAGGUCCGCAGUGGCGUCGGAAUUUAUCCUGAUGAGGUGGCCGGUCGUCAAAUUCACAUCAGCGAUCAUCGAUGCUACAACGGAUUUGCUGCCAGCGAUCGUGCACAAUCCUCACCUCACCCGAUGCAUCCAGGAAUGCCCUCAAUGUAAAUGAUGGAACCCUCGCAGCAUAGCGACCACCAAACCACAAUGGUAGCAUUCCGAUGGGCGAUGCAGUGGAGCCUCCGAUGUUCACUUUUUACUUCCACCCGGUUCCGGGUCGAAUAUGGAGAACAAUACAUAUACGCUUCUGCAUACAGAGCGGCCUCGGUCCCUCGUGGAACUGCUCAGCAGAACUUGCAUCGAUAGAGUAUAUCGAUUAAAUGUGCCGUAGUGAAAAAUAGCACCUUGCAGAAAAUCUGUUCGUUUCCAUUCAGGAAUCGGCUACGUUCCAGCUGACAGCGAAAAAUUUUAUUCCGCGAGGGAUUACACAGCA